CAGCUGGACAAAGUCAGGUACCAAAUAAGACUGUCCCCACAAGUGGUUUGCACUUCAUACAGGCUGUGAGGGCCAUUUCUGCUGUGUGAUCUCUUCAUGCUCUUCCAUGUCCUCUGCAGCCAGGAUGCCCUCGGUGUUGCCUUGCCUGCUCCUUUCAACCUUGUCUGCCUGGACUGCAGGGACAGAGAAGGAUGUGGGCUCAGCCCUGGGAGCAGUCCUGCCCCUAACAGGUAGGAGGGAGGUGUCUCUGUUGGUUAUCAAAGACCUUUGGUUUGUCACACGUUACCUGCUCAGUCCUCCUCUCCUUCAGCCUUCUGGAGACAUUGUCCAUAUGGAUCUGGGGAGCUUUUCUGUGCCAAUUCAGAGUUUAGCUACCUCAGCAGCUCAGUGCACUCCUAAGUGUGCCAGAAAGAAUGAACAGAAACAGCAUCCCAGUGUGUCACACACUGGGCAGCAUCCCAGGGUGUCAAGGGAAAGACCAAGGCCUCCAGCCUUGAGACUGAAGGAUAGUACUGCCAGAGUGCUGCAUAUCCAUUGCACCUCCCAGCCUCAUUGCAGUGUAUGGAUCAAAAUCUGCUGAGGGAUGCCUCUCCAAAUUAUGUCACGUGAAGGGCUCAUACCAAAUGGGUGAGCAUGAGCUUUAACCAGUGGCAAAACCAUCCACCUGUAUUUUCAAUCCCCCUGGCCCUUCUCAAUCCUCUGCUGUUCCUUUGGGUGGCACCUGAGGCAAGCAGGGGCAGAGCUCUGCCUGCAGCCCAGAGCACCCCUCUCCUGCCUCGCUGCAACCCUUUAGCUACAGCCCUCUGUGAGAAACCCUGGCUCCAUGAAGAUCCCCAUUUGUCUGUGUUUUGACCUCUGACUCUUUAUAAAAUGUGCAAGUAUAUUUCUAAAAUAACAGUUGCUUUAGUAA